UUACGGUCAUAUCACGUUGAUACACCAGUUCCCGUAGGUUCACCGAAGUUAAGCAACGUCCAGCCUGGUCAGUAUCUAGAUGGAAGACAGCUUGGGAAUA